rnacentral:rRNA from 1 species
UGGGGAAUAUUGCACAAUGGAGGGAACUCUGAUGCAGCGACGCCGCGUGAACGAACAAGGCUUUCGAGUCGUAAAGUUCUUUUAUAUGGGAAGAUAAUGACGGUACCAUAAGAAAAAGCCCCGGCUAACUACGUGCCAGCAGCCGCGGUAAUACGUAGGGGGCUAGCGUUGUCCGGAAUCACUGGGCGUAAAGGGUUCGCAGGCGGAAAUGCAAGUCAGGUGUAAAAGGCAGUAGCUUAACUACUGUAAGCAUUUGAAACUGCAUAUCUUGAGAAGAGUAGAGGUAAGUGGAAUUUUUAGUGUAGCGGUGAAAUGCGUAGAUAUUAAAAAGAAUACCGGUGGCGAAGGCGACUUACUGGGCUCAUUCUGACGCUGAGGAACGAAAGCGUGGGUAGCAAACAGG